rnacentral:misc_RNA from 1 species
UCCGGUUUGUCCCCGGCAGUCUCCCAUGAGUCCCCGCCAUUACGCGCUGGCAACAUGGGACAGGGGUUGCGCUCGUUGCGGGACUUAACCCAACAUCUCACGGCACGAGCUGACGACAGCCAUGCACCACCUGUCAGGGGCCCUUACGGACACUGCAUCUCUGCAGCUUUUCCCCUGAUGUCAAACCCAGGUAAGGUUCUUCGCGUUGCCUCGAAUUAAGCCACAUGCUCCGCCGCUUGUGCGGGUCCCCGUCAAUUCCUUUGAGUUUUAGCCUUGCGGCCGUACUCCCCAGGCGGGGCGCUUAAUGCGUUAGCUACGGCACAGAACCAACAAACGUGGCCCCACACCUAGCGCCCACCGUUUACAGCAUGGACUAC